GCCACCACCUCUAUCCUACAAAAGUGUAUCACAGAUAAGCAAGAAUCUUUCUAUGACAAGAAAUCAUGAAAAGUCCAAUAAUAUGGGAAAAAUUAUAGAAGUAGGGUAAGAAAAAUAAAAGUGUACAAAUUCAAUGAGCCACCACACACCAUGCACAAAGAAAAAUUCAAAUUUCAUGCCAUCAAGAUCAAAUAGUUUGUAAGUU
rnacentral:misc_RNA from 1 species